UACAGAGGUCCCAAGCGUUGUUCGGAUUCACUGGGCGUAAAGGGUGCGUAGGCGGUCGGAUAAGUCUGAUGUGAAAUCUUCGAGCUCAACUCGGAAACUGCAUCGGAAACUAUUCGGCUAGAGGAUUGGAGGGGAGACUGGAAUUCUCGGUGUAGCAGUGAAAUGCGUAGAUAUCGGGAGGAACACCAGUGGCGAAGGCGGCUACCUGGCCCACUCUUGACGCUGAGGCGCGAAAGCUAGGGGAGCAAACGGG
rnacentral:rRNA from 1 species